GCUAAACAAACUCGGAGAUAGCUGGUUCUCCCCGAAAACUAUUUAGGUAGUGCCUCGAGCAAGACACUGAUGGGGGUAAAGCACUGUUAUGGCUAGGGGGUUAUUGCAACUUACCAACCCAUGGCAAACUAAGAAUACCAUCAAGUGGUUCCUCGGGAGACAGACAGCGGGUGCUAACGUCCGUUGUCAAGAGGGAAACAACCCAGACCGCCAGCUAAGGUCCCAAAUGAUAGAUUAAGUGGUAGACGAAGUGGGAAGGCCCAGACAGCCAGGAUGUUGGCUUAGAAGCAGCCAUCAUUUAAAGAAAGCGUAAUAGCUCACUGGUCGAGUCGUCCUGCGCGGAAGAUGUAACGGGGCUCAAAUCUAUAACCGAAGCUGCGGAUGCCGGUUUACCGGCAUGGUAGGGGAGCGUUCUGUAGGCUGAUGAAGGUGCAUUGUAAAGUGUGCUGGAGGUAUCAGAAGUGCGAAUGUUGACAUGAGUAGCGAUAAAGCGGGUGAAAAGCCCGCUCGCCGAAAGCCCAAGGUUUCCUGCGCAACGUUCAUCGGCGUAGGGUGAGUCGGCCCCUAAGGCGAGGCAGAAAUGCGUAGUCGAUGGGAAACAGGUUAAUAUUCCUGUACUUGAUUCAAAUGCGAUGUGGGGACGGAGAAGGUUAGGUUGGCAAGCUGUUGGAAUAGCUUGUUUAAGCCGGUAGGUGGAAGACUUAGGCAAAUCCGGGUCUUCUUAACACCGAGAAGUGACGACGAGUGUCUACGGACACGAAGCUACCGAUACCACGCUUCCAGGAAAAGCCACUAAGCUUCAGUUUGAAUCGAACCGUACCGCAAACCGACACAGGUGGGCAGGAUGAGAAUUCUAAGGCGCUUGAGAGAACUCAGGAGAAGGAACUCGGCAAAUUGAUACCGUAACUUCGGGAGAAGGUAUGCCCUCUAAGGUUAAGGACUUGCUCCGUAAGCCCCGGAGGGUCGCAGAGAAUAGGUGGCUGCGACUGUUUAUUAAAAACACAGCACUCUGCUAACACGAAAGUGGACGUAUAGGGUGUGACGCCUGCCCGGUGCUGGAAGGUUAAUUGAAGAUGUGAGAGCAUCGGAUCGAAGCCCCAGUAAACGGCGGCCGUAACUAUAACGGUCCUAAGGUAGCGAAAUUCCUUGUCGGGUAAGUUCCGACCCGCACGAAUGGCGUAACGAUGGCCACACUGUCUCCUCCUGAGACUCAGCGAAGUUGAAGUGGUUGUGAAGAUGCAAUCUACCCGCUGCUAGACGGAAAGACCCCGUGAACCUUUACUGUAGCUUUGCAUUGGACUUUGAAGUCACUUGUGUAGGAUAGGUGGGAGGCUUAGAAGCAGAGACGCCAGUCUCUGUGGAGCCGUCCUUGAAAUACCACCCUGGUGUCUUUGAGGUUCUAACCCAGACCCGUCAUCCGGGUCGGGGACCGUGCAUGGUAGGCAGUUUGACUGGGGCGGUCUCCUCCCAAAGCGUAACGGAGGAGUUCGAAGGUUACCUAGGUCCGGUCGGAAAUCGGACUGAUAGUGCAAUGGCAAAAGGUAGCUUAACUGCGAGACCGACAAGUCGAGCAGGUGCGAAAGCAGGACAUAGUGAUCCGGUGGUUCUGUAUGGAAGGGCCAUCGCUCAACGGAUAAAAGGUACUCCGGGGAUAACAGGCUGAUUCCGCCCAAGAGUUCAUAUCGACGGCGGAGUUUGGCACCUCGAUGUCGGCUCAUCACAUCCUGGGGCUGUAGUCGGUCCCAAGGGUAUGGCUGUUCGCCAUUUAAAGUGGUACGUGAGCUGGGUUUAAAACGUCGUGAGACAGUUUGGUCCCUAUCUGCAGUGGGCGUUGGAAGUUUGACGGGGGCUGCUCCUAGUACGAGAGGACCGGAGUGGACGAACCUCUGGUGUACCGGUUGUAACGCCAGUUGCAUAGCCGGGUAGCUAAGUUCGGAAGAGAUAAGCGCUGAAAGCAUCUAAGCGCGAAACUCGCCUGAAGAUGAGACUUCCCUUGCGGUUUAACCGCACUAAAGAGUCGUUCGAGACCAGGACGUUGAUAGGUGGGGUGUGGAAGCGCGGUAACGCGUGAAGCUAACCCAUACUAAUUGCUCGUGAGGCUUGACU
rnacentral:rRNA from 1 species